UACGGGACCUUGAUGAGGUACGGACGACCAGGGGAAACCCUGAUCCAGCCAUCCACGUGCGAUGAAAGCCUUCGGGUUGUAAAGCACUUUUGGCAGGAAAGAAACGGCGCAGGAUAAUACGUGCAACUGACAGUACACCUGCAGAAUAAGCACCGGCUAUACGUGCCAGCAUGCGGUAAUACAUGGGGUGCAAGCGUUAAUCCGGAAUUACUGGGCGUAAAGCGUGCGCAGGCAGUUCGGAAAGAAAGAUACCAAAUGCGACUUGCUGGAACUGCAUUUUUAACUACCGAGCUAGAGUGUCAGGGAGGUGGAAUUCCGCAUGUAAGCAGUGAAAUGCGUAGAUAUGCGGAGGAACACCGAUGGCGAAAUGACCUCCUGGGAUAACGCUGAAAGCGCUCUUGCAAGCGUGGGGAGCAACAGGAUUAAUACCCCGUAGU
rnacentral:misc_RNA from 1 species